rnacentral:rRNA from 1 species
UACAGAGGUCUCAAGCGUUGUUCGGAUUCAUUGGGCGUAAAGGGUGCGUAGGUGGCAUGGUCAGUCGGAUGUGAAAUCCCGGGGCUCAACCCCGGAACUGCAUUCGAUACUGCCGCGCUAGAGUACUGGAGAGGAGAUUGGAAUUUACGGUGUAGCAGUGGAAUGCGUAGAUAUCGUAAGGAAGACCAGUGGCGAAGGCGGAUCUCUGGACAGUUACUGACACUGAGGCACGAAGGCCAGGGGAGCAAACGGG